rnacentral:rRNA from 1 species
UACGGGGGGGGCAAGCGUUGUUCGGAAUUACUGGGCGUAAAGGGUCUGUAGGUGGCUUGCUAAGUCAGACGUGAAAUCCCUCAGCUUAACUGGGGAACUGCGUCUGAGACUGGCGAGCUUGAGGGCAGGAGAGGAACGCGGAAUUCCAGGUGUAGCGGUGAAAUGCGUAGAGAUGUGGAGGAACACCAGUGGCGAAGGCGACUCUUUGGCCUGUAACUGACGCUGAGGCGCGAAAGCGUGGGGAGCAAACAGG